GGCACAAGAGAGCCUGUUUGCCUGGGAGUGCAUGUUUCAAAUGCUUAGCUGCCUAUAAAGCUGUAACAGUUCAGCCUGUGGCCACUGAGGGAAGAAUAUAAGUUAACCUCUGUAGUGACCAUGUGGAAGUCCUGACCUUGCUUGCAGACUUGACCUCUGGAUAUGACAAGGUAGCUUCAAUACAGAUCUACCAUCUAAUCCUGGCAACUAAAAACAAACAAACAAAAAUUCCACAGCAAGAAAGAUGCAGAAUAUUUCCUGAGAAGUCAGAAGACCCCAAUGUCCUCUGGUGGGCAAAGGAAACAGGGUGGGGUCCUGUGUUCACUGAUACUUCCCCUUUACUUCCCCCGGCUCAUGAAAAGAAGCGCUGAUUCAGCAAAUAGAGUGAAGAGCCGAUCUAGAUGAGAUGGCUGCUACUGGCGUGACUCUCUGGGUAAUUCUCUCUCCCUGCUCAUGACACUAAGCUUACAGGUAACAAACACAGCACCACAGGACUGUACUUUAAUGGAGUUUUAUGGUUUUCUGCAUGCUUACCUACUAUCGACUCAAUACCUGCUUUUAUUGUUAAAUUCUACCUGGGCAUAGCCGUUUUUUCACAGUUCAAGCAGAGACCUUAUGCAGCGUAAAAAGGAAUGCUGUUCAAAUAUCAUGACAGAUGACUCAAUGUCAAACCUGUACAAGUCCAUUCCUGUCUUUUACAUUAUUAAAGAGUCAAUCUUUACUGUUUCAGAUUAAGUGGUGAUUCUGUAUCCCUAGGAAAUGGCCACCUGCCUUCAGAGCCUACUAUCUUUUAAAAACUAUUAACUCUUUCAAGGUUUAGUCAACCAAGAAACUUGGGAGAUCACAAAAAUGAUUUUUAGUGCUUCCUCUGAUAGCUGGGCACAAAAUUAAACCAGAAUAUGGAUGGUGAAAUUCAAAUGCUGCAUUGCUGAAACUGCUUUAGUACUGGACCAUCUCCUGCUACAUGGUCCUCUGCUCUCUAUGAGCUACAGUCACUUCUUACAACAGGCUUCAGGAAUUCUACUUUCCGUGUCUUUUAUUACCCCUCCUUUCUCAGAUCUGAAAUUUUCUUAUGGUCUUCUUAUAAAUUAAUUUCUUAAUGCCACAAUAAUAAAAGGCAACUCACCAACUAUAAUUUGUUUUCAUGCUAAAGGACGAAGCUAAAACCCAACUGCUCACUAACUAAUACCUUUCAGUUCUUUAAGUGUGACUUUGGAAAACUUGACUGUUCUGGUACUUAUCCUUCCUAUUAAAAAAAAAAAUCAAAGUAUCAGAACAACUCAACUCACCAAAAUUAGAUAUUAAUUCCUCUAUCUAAAUUUAUAUUUAACCCAGACAGGACCACCAUACUGAGAAAAUCAGGUAAGUAAUUAAUAAGAAAGGAACAACACAGAGGUUUUCAAAUGAUCAUGAGUUCUUAUCUGUGACCUUUAAAACAAAACUAACAAAAAAAAAAAAUCAUUAAAAAAAAAAUUCAGUUCAUUCAUACUCUAAAAAGAUCCAGUUUUUCUCCUUGUUUUUUCAACUUUAGAGUCAACAUCAGAAGUAGUACUAAUUGGUUAAUUAUUAAGUCUUUAAUAAGAUAUCUAGCUGGUAAAAAGAACAUGCACCAAAUUAAUUAUUGUCUACUUGUAGGUUCUAGAAGCAAACUAAAAAAUAAGAAGAAAUUUGCCCUGAAGACUAUGAAGAAAUACUAGGCUGAUCUUACCAAUUUUUGAAAGACACUCUGUAAAUCCCCACUGAUUCAAUGGAUAUCUCCCAAAAAGAACCAAACCAGGACAAAGUUCAACAGAUAACUGGUCAAUGUUUAGAAGUGUAUGUCUACCAAGAACAAGGAACCAUAAACAGCACUAAUGCCAUGCCUCAGGUAAAUCUGUUAUGAAGUUUAGUCUCUGAUAUUCUCUGCAAAUGAUCUACCACUGCUCUCCAUCAGCAAGCUGAAAGUUUUACUAAAAAAUGGGAAAAUAAAACAUGUAAUGUUUUCAUAGCUAACAACUUAGUAAUACCUACUCAGAGUACAUACUUCUUUAUGUACCCAUAUGAACAUACAAUGCUAUGGAAUGUAAAGAAGUAUGUAUUUUUGGUAGGCAAUAAACCACCAUGAGGAAACUAGACUGCAGCUAUGUGAAUGACCUUCAUAUGUUGAAUUAACCUAUCAAAGAGAUGACCUUUGGCAAUACUAACACCAGAAAAUGUACCUACUACUUUCAGAUGGAAACUAACUGUUGCUGAUUUAUAUUUCAUGAGGAAAAAAGUUCUACUGAAGUAGAUUUAAAAUUAACAUGGAAUUCCUUUUAAAUCUUUUAAGUUUAAAGCAUACUACAUUUUAUAUUUUUAAAUUAAGUACUCACAUGAUUAAAAUUUGAAUACAAAAGAGAAAACAGAGAUACCAGUACAAAGAAAUGACACAAAUGACCCAAUUUAAUUUUAAUUUAAAUGUAUCAUAUUAGUAGGGCUGACAUUUAACAAAAGCUGACUUCAUUUGCAUUUCAACAGCUAUUCUUCGUAUCUUGAUAUGAAGAAUAAUUAUAAUUAACAAUAUAGUUUAAUUAUAAUUUAACAAUAUUAGAAGAAUUCCUGAAGCAAGUUUCGGUGUUUUAAGUUUUCUUUCUGAAAGCUACAGACAUAGCUAUAAUUUUUAAAGAAAAAUCUUUCAAGUAAAAUUGUACUCUCAAAGAAAAAAAAGUGGUCCCUGUCCUUCUCCCUAAUCCAGUUUCCACUUUCAAUGCUAUGUUAAGUACUUAGUUUAAAUCAAGACAUAUGAUUUAUUCAAGAAAAAUGAUAAAAUUCUGGGAAAUAGGUAUAAGUCAAUAGGGCACAUUGGUCACAGACCGCCAAAUAUUAAAAUAAACUAACUCAUUAUCUAUACUAUCCUUGAAUUUGCUUUCUCCAAAGAGGGCACAUAAAAUGAAACACUACAAUCAUGAAACCAAUUUACACAGAAAGAAUAACCAUUUUUAUUGGUACUAGGCAAAUACACUUCAAUUUUUUAUAAACAUGAUAGCCUACUGUUUAUAGUAUGCUAGAGAUAUUAAAAUACAUUUUACAUUUUAUGUGAAAUGUAUUUUGUACAAUAUAUACUUAUAUAGAUAAAUAUUAUAAAUGAUAAAGCUCUUAGCCACAAUUUAUUAGUACCUAUUUUAAGCUACUAUAAUAGAUUUAGAAAAGAAAUAUUAAUAUUCAUAUAUUCUAAUAAUUUCUUUUGAUUAGAGUAUUCAGACAUAUGUCAUCAUAUGUCUAAAUUUUUUGUCACAGUUGAACAGAAAUGGUCAUAAGGUUAUCCAUGAAUUGUUAAUUUUCUGUUUAAUAAGACAACUAGAUAAUUGUCAAAAGGUGAUUUUCAUUUAAUCAGCAGAUUAAAAAGGAGAGAAUGACUUACAUAUAAGCAUAGAAGUUAUAGAAUAUUUAUUGGAAAUUACAAAAAGUUCAUUAAUUUUAAAAUUUUACAUUUUCAAAGAAAAAAAAAUCAGUUUAAAGCUUAACUCACUCAAGAAUAGACCUUCUUCCUAUCCACAAAAAGGAUGGCAAAGCUUCAUAUUCCAUUCAUUAAGUUUAACUAUACACGCUCUAAACAUCAAAAACUGACAAUAUACACCUCAAAAGUAGAGGUUCCUCUAUGAAACUACUCAAAGGGUAUUACUGUAUCUAUGCUUUAUAAUAAGCAAUUAUAUUUACCAUUCUAUGGGUAUAAAAGUUUCUAAUAAUUAUUUUAAAACAUUCCAGCAACUAAGAAUCUUGUUGCUACAAUAUUAAGAGCUUCCAAACCUUAGAAAAUGAAAGUAUCUAUUAUUCAUUUGAAAAAGUAUAAUUAUACACUGAUUCUAAUGCUUACAAGUUAAACUUAACAUAUCUAAGAGUAUUUUCAAUCACUCUAAAAUGUCACAUCUAUCACUUAGAUCAGCUGUUCAUUUUUAACUGAGUACAUAUUAAACUCUGGGCAUCUGCUGACACUGGUGUAACUCAAACAUUUCAACUGUCUCUCUGACAGGGAUAACAGAUGCUGACAUUAUCAAAUGCUGCACUAUUUUUUUUCCCCCUGGCCUCUCUUGCCCCGAUAUGGCCAGUAUACGAAACUGAACUGCCAUCCAAAGCACACUUGAGCAACUGGAUCUGCUAAACAGCUCCCAUAUAACUAGUAAAAAUAGAAGUCAGUUUUAUUGCUAUCUUCAGCACUUAAGUCCAGGCAAUUUAACACCUGUUUCUUUUCUAUUAGAAUAAAUGAUGGAAAUAAUUGUAGUUACAUUAAUUUCACCAGCAGCAUGAUACCCUUCAGCCAACAGAUGUGGGAUAUACUUAAUACUAGAAGUGUUUGAAUAUUGCCUGAAUUAGUGUUGACCUUCUCCCAGUUUGGUUCGAAACACAUAACUAUUUCUUUACUGUUUAUAUUUCAGUGAGAGCACUUACCUUACAGGCAAACUAUAACUGUUCAAGUUUUAUUUUAAAAAGGUAUUUUCAGAAGACAUCCCUUCUCAAUACUGAAAUUCCCUUAUAACAAAAACUUUCUGUACUGAGUUUUAGCGGUAAUUUUCAUACUCAAAUUCAUGAUUAUUGCUAACCACAAUGUAUUAUUAAGCAGAUAAUGAGAAGUAACCAAGCAAUCUGUACCCAAAAUGACAGAGAAAUCAGUCAAGGAACUAGACUUUUAAAAGAGUUCAAUUAUUAACCUAUGGUUAGUAACACUACAUAAGCAAAAAGAAAAAUAAGCUAUCAUUCGAGGCAGUUCCUUCAACACAAGUCUAAGCAAUACACUGAAUACACAUGUGAUCUAUUUAUAAACCAAAGGGUACCAGAGGUACUUUUCUUAAGGCCAUUCAUCCUUCCCUCCCUGUCAGCAACCUGCUGUUAGUCUUUAAGCAUUAUGCUAAAAAAAGAAGUGGCGGUAGAAAAGUGUGACUGACUAGCAGUAUUCCUCCCUAACCUAUUUCACCUGCUUAUUUGGUUUACUGCUCAAAGAUAAAUAGAAAACAUUAUUCUGAUACACAUCAAGGUCUAUAUGCUCUUUUUAAAUGGUGCUGGUUUUGAAACAGGUCACUGUCUAUAUUUAAGAAUUCAGCAAAGGUGUUAAAAAAAAAAUAAAGGUGUACAUUAAUAACUCCUUAAUGCACUAACAACGUGCUAAAGGGUAAAGACUUCUGCACGACUAGAGUGGGAAACAGCAGGAGAAGUGCCUUCAGAAAAUAAAGUUUUACAAUUCAUAGCUGAAAUACUGAUGUGAGAUUCUCUUAACAUUUGAGGAAGGAUCAUAAUCAUAAUUUAAAAUUCAAAAUAAAAAAAAUUUAACUGUUUUAGGUCCCCAGCUAGCAGCACGGCAAUGCUUUGCUAGAGCUGGUAAAAUGGAACCAAAUCGCCUCUUCAAUGGAUUUGGUCCCCUUCAACCAGCUGUAGCUAUGCAUUGAUUACUACAGGACAGCCAGCAUUUUCAUUUAUCAUUAUCAAUCACAUGUCAACUAAUUUCAACUUAUUUAUUCAAAUUAUGGUUUAAAUCAAAUAAUUUGUAACUGUUAAUUCUGCUUGAAAGAGCUAUAGUAGUAUAUGAUGUUAAUAAACAGUUUUAUGAAAAACUGUGUGAAUGAUGUAAGGCUUUCAAAUAAAAUUAUUUUAUUCAUU